AUGUAAUUGAAGGUUAUACAGCUGCAGUCUCUCUCUAAACCUUCAACUGGUAAGAGCUGCUUUGGCACAUGUUUGGAAAAGUUUUUGUUCAGAUAUAACUUUGAACAAAAACGCUUUCUUCGAAGACACACGGCUGAUAUCGUGGACGCGAACAGAAAUUAUUCUUCAGCGCAGUCCGCAUCCUUCAAUUUCUCAAGUCCGCAAACUUAAAGUGAACCUUCUAACGGAUAUUCUGGAUCAACUUAGGGCAGUGCCUCGUUUAUUGUGUGCGAAUUACUGCUGUGUGUGCAAAUCACGGCUGUGUGCCAAUUACGGCUGUGUGUGCGAAUUACGUGUGUAUUAUUUAUUUGUUUGUGUGAGAAUUUAUUCGUGCAGCGAACAAAUCAAACAGCUGAUUCUAUUGAAAACCAACGAAGUCAACGCACAGGUAAAAUUCCCUGCAAGUAACUACCAUCAGAAUGGAGGGUUUCGAAUCUGGAAGCAUCGUGAAUAUAAUGCGUA